rnacentral:rRNA from 1 species
AAAUUGAAGAGUUUGAUCAUGGCUCAGAUUGAACGCUGGCGGCAGGCCUAACACAUGCAAGUCGAGCGGUAGCACAGAGAGCUUGCUCUCGGGUGACGAGCGGCGGACGGGUGAGUAAUGUCUGGGAAACUGCCUGAUGGAGGGGGAUAACUACUGGAAACGGUAGCUAAUACCGCAUAAUGUCGCAAGACCAAAGUGGGGGACCUUCGGGCCUCAUGCCAUCAGAUGUGCCCAGAUGGGAUUAGCUAGUAGGUGGGGUAACGGCUCACCUAGGCGACGAUCCCUAGCUGGUCUGAGAGGAUGACCAGCCACACUGGAACUGAGACACGGUCCAGACUCCUACGGGAGGCAGCAGUGGGGAAUAUUGCACAAUGGGCGCAAGCCUGAUGCAGCCAUGCCGCGUGUGUGAAGAAGGCCUUCGGGUUGUAAAGCACUUUCAGCGGGGAGGAAGGCGUUAAGGUUAAUAACCUUGGCGAUUGACGUUACCCGCAGAAGAAGCACCGGCUAACUCCGUGCCAGCAGCCGCGGUAAUACGGAGGGUGCAAGCGUUAAUCGGAAUUACUGGGCGUAAAGCGCACGCAGGCGGUCUGUCAAGUCGGAUGUGAAAUCCCCGGGCUCAACCUGGGAACUGCAUUCGAAACUGGCAGGCUAGAGUCUUGUAGAGGGGGGUAGAAUUCCAGGUGUAGCGGUGAAAUGCGUAGAGAUCUGGAGGAAUACCGGUGGCGAAGGCGGCCCCCUGGACAAAGACUGACGCUCAGGUGCGAAAGCGUGGGGAGCAAACAGGAUUAGAUACCCUGGUAGUCCACGCCGUAAACGAUGUCGAUUUGGAGGUUGUGCCCUUGAGGCGUGGCUUCCGGAGCUAACGCGUUAAAUCGACCGCCUGGGGAGUACGGCCGCAAGGUUAAAACUCAAAUGAAUUGACGGGGGCCCGCACAAGCGGUGGAGCAUGUGGUUUAAUUCGAUGCAACGCGAAGAACCUUACCUGGUCUUGACAUCCACAGAACUUAGCAGAGAUGCUUUGGUGCCUUCGGGAACUGUGAGACAGGUGCUGCAUGGCUGUCGUCAGCUCGUGUUGUGAAAUGUUGGGUUAAGUCCCGCAACGAGCGCAACCCUUAUCCUUUGUUGCCAGCGGUUAGGCCGGGAACUCAAAGGAGACUGCCAGUGAUAAACUGGAGGAAGGUGGGGAUGACGUCAAGUCAUCAUGGCCCUUACGACCAGGGCUACACACGUGCUACAAUGGCAUAUACAAAGAGAAGCGACCUCGCGAGAGCAAGCGGACCUCAUAAAGUAUGUCGUAGUCCGGAUUGGAGUCUGCAACUCGACUCCAUGAAGUCGGAAUCGCUAGUAAUCGUAGAUCAGAAUGCUACGGUGAAUACGUUCCCGGGCCUUGUACACACCGCCCGUCACACCAUGGGAGUGGGUUGCAAAAGAAGUAGGUAGCUUAACCUUCGGGAGGGCGCUUACCACUUUGUGAUUCAUGACUGGGGUGAAGUCGUAACAAGGUAACCGUAGGGGAACCUGCGGUUGGAUCACCUCCUUACAUUAAAGAA